AAUCAACGCUGGCGGCGUGCCUCAGACAUGCAAGUCGAACGAUUAAAGCUCUCUUCGGAGAGUGCAUAGAGUGGCGCACGGGUGAGUAACACGUAAGUAAUCUACCUUCGAGUGGGGAAUAACGUCCGGAAACGGACGCUAAUACCGCAUAAUGCAGCGGCAUCGUAAGAUGACAGUUGUUAAAGAUUUAUCGCUUGAAGAGGAGCUUGCGGCAGAUUAGCUAGUUGGUAAGGUAAUGGCUUACCAAGGCUACGAUCUGUAACCGGUCUUAGAGGACGGUCGGUCACACUGACACUGAAUAACGGGUCAGACUCCUACGGGAGGCAGCAGUCGGGAAUUUUGGGCAAUGGGCGAAAGCCUGACCCAGCAACGCCGCGUGAAGGAUGAAGUAUUUCGGUAUGUAAACUUCGAAAGAAUAGGAAGAAUAAAUGACGGUACUAUUUGUAAGGUCCGGCUAACUACGUGCCAGCAGCCGCGGUAA
rnacentral:rRNA from 1 species